AUGGCCUCUGCAUCAGUUCUGGCCUCCAGGUUCCUGCCCUGUUUGAAUUUCUGUCCCAACUUCCUUCAAUGAUGAACAACAAUAUGGAAGUGUAAGCUAAACAAACCCUUUCCUCUCCAACUUGUUUUUUGUCGUGGUGUUUUGUCACAAAAGUAGAAACCCUAACUAAGACAUGGUCAGUGGUUUUCCAGCACUGUCCUGAACCUCUUUGUAGGGCUGCUCUUUUGUGUGGCUAUAUUCUUAAGAGAUUUAAGGGCAGUUUGCAGAGGUGUUUUAUUUUGUUUUGUUUUGUUUUGUUUUGUUUUGUUUUGUUUGUCUUCUUUCUUUUUCCCCAAUAAGUACAGAUGUUAAAUCCAACCUCUGAGUGAAUGAGGAAAAUGUGUUUUACUGAGGAAACACAAGAACUUUCUGACAGUAAUAGGUUUGGGGUUGAUCAGCUUAGAAUAGUUAUAUAAUGUAUGAUUUGUGGCAAUGAAACUACUAAAAUGGUGAAUCAUUGCAUCUUAGCAGACAUGCACUUAACAUAAUGAUGUGUUUGUUCCUUCUCAGUGUUCAUACAUAUUUGAAUGAGGGACACAAAUCAUCACAGCUGUCAGGGAUCGCAUUGCAGCUGUGCCUCAGCCCGCAGGUAGGUGGAGUCUAGAGCACUGGGCCCAGGCACAGGAGGCUAAGGGCUCAGGCUGCCCUGAUCAUUUGUCUCUUUGCUUGAUAGCCACACUUGGUUGACUCAACCAUCUUUGGAAGCUCUCUUUUGUUUUUGUUUUUGUUUUUUUUGUUUUUUUGUUUUUUUUUUUUACUUGUAAAAUUAGCCCAUAACAAUGGCCCUAUAAUGGUAUUACCAGUGUGAAUCUUAUACACAAAUGCUUGGGAUAAAGUAAGUGUGUGAUGAGUAUCUGUUACAACCUUUGGAUUUAGUAUUCUCUUGGAUUCCAAGUAUACCAGAAUUUACAAAUCGAGAUAAUUCUACACAGAAGUUUUAGUACUUAAUAGAGCUGAAUUCUUGGAAGAUGAGGUAAAAAUAUUACCAGAGAAAUUGGGGUUCUCUCAAAAGAGAAAGAGGGAAAUUUAGAGGAGGAAAAGGUAGGCAGGCUGUACUCUCAGAAGCAGUCAAGAAAGGGGAGAUGUGGUAUAGAAAGCCAUGCCCUUUGAGUCAUGGUCCAAGAAAGCAAACAUGUUCAGUAAUGGAGGUUGGCAAGUAUGGCAGAAGGGGAGGCAAAGGUGAGAGAGCACAAAGUGUCAAAGAAUGCUUAGGUUUUGGUCAGUAUCUGGAAGAGGAAAAGAAAGAAGGAAGAAACCAGGUGAUUUACAGGCCCAAAUGGAUUAACUUUUAUGGGAAGAGACCAAAAUAUAUAAUGUUUUAAUCUUCAAAGCAGACCAGAAGGUUGAAGGUAUUCCUUUCAUUUGACAGGCUGACUAAAGAAAUGCUAGAAAUGGUUGUGCUAUUUUUCUUUUUAGUUUUACCAGGAAAACAGGAAAAAGUAGUGUCCAAACUCAACGAGAAAAAGAAGUCUAUCUUUAAUGGCCUUCAAGGCUACUAAUGCCUAUGAAGCUACUUAGCAAAAGUACAUCACUUUGAGGAAUCAAUAUACCUCAGUUAGGACCCAAAGAUUUAAACUGGUCAUUGACCUUCACUGUGUCUGUUAUCUAGCACAUAUUAGGUAUAUCCUUCUUUUUCUGCCCUACACCCUUGAGACUUAAAUUUAGGUGCUCAAAUUAAGUUGCUUGACCCCUUUGUCUCUGAGCCUACCCUAACUCCAAAUUCAUCAAACAAACAAAACUGACAUAAAUGUUUUGGUUAACAUAUAUCUUUGAUAUUAAAUCGCUGGUUCCAGGCUGGAUUUUGACAAUAUUAAAAUCUUCCUUAAGUGGAUUUGUGUCAGAUAUAACAUUGUUGAUGUAUAGAAGGCUCUGAGUGUGUAAGGUCCUUAGUGAAUGCAUAUUGUUAUUGCUGACAUGACCAUGGGAGAUCCUAGCCUCAGACCCAGAGGGUAAUGGCCAAGCAUUCCCUUGUGGCCCAUGUGUGGAUAUUAAGAGUCUUGUUUAGCUGUAUGUGAUUACCCAGUCUCGUUGUUCAAGUCUGUGUAACCACAUCAGGCAUCCUGGGUGCUGUGGUUUCUCCAGCAAAGUGCCCGGUCCAUCUGCCUGAUUCACAGAUAUUUCUGCGUGUUUGAAUGUUUGAUUUUUCUUCAUUCUCUUAUUCAUUGCCUUAGGUCAAAUCCCUUGAUGUGUACACAGACACACAUUGGUACAUCCAGACUGAAGUGGGUAUCCUUCUAGACAACCCCUUCUAUACGAUCACAUUCUAUACCAUCUACUCUCAGAGCAUCACAUGCAACGAUCCACGAAUAGCAUGUCAUUUUCUCAAGUGACAGAUAGCUCUUCUAUCUGCAGGCCAACCUCGACCCUCUCCAUUUUGUAUGCUUGAGAAAUUUGGCUUUGAAUUUAUUAUGCUGGGCUUCUUUUCUUCCAGAGAACACUCAGAUGUUAAGAUGCUACAAAGAUGUAGAGGAAGCAACAAAUAAAACCAAGACAUUCUACUUAAAAUAGGAAUGCAAAAAUCCAAUGAAUGUGGUAUUCAAGAGUUCAAGUAAAGAAAGUAUUUGAAGAAUGAGGGAGGGGGCAGUGGUGUGGAAAGUGACUAAUAGAUGGGGUGAGAUUAAGACUUAUAGUUAUUUGAUAGAUUUAGCAAUAUGGACUUGGCUAGUUUAAGGCACUAAUCUCAUUUUCUCUUUAAUUCUUAUAAAAUCUCUGUGAAGAUACAGUUUUAAAUUUUUACAUUGUAUUUUUCAAAUGAAGAACUUGAGAGUCAGGAUAUAUAAACUGUCCAAAUUGAUUUCAAUGGAAAAUGACAGAAUUUAUAUCUGAACCCCAGUUUUCUAACUUUAUCUUUUAUUAUAUCUCAUAUUAGGUAUAUACAGUAUAUUUUGCUUUCAAAUAAUAUAUUCUUUUUAUAAGAGUUCAUAUUUUAAGACUAAUUCUACAUUUUGAAAAUAAGAUUUUGCACACUUUUUUUUUUUUAGCUGUCUGUGUCAGGAAUGUGCUGAGACUAGUUUCAGGAAUUCUUUCUCCUACCUGAGAGUGAAACACAGCUUAAAUAUAACCAUGGUCAACACUCAGGCAUCUUGAGAAUCCAUCAAGGUUUUGUGGAAAGUAGAAUGAUAUGGAAGAUCUUGCAAACCCUUUUCCUCAUCACAGAUGAACUCCCUGAGAGGAUUUCUGAGAAGAUCCACGUGGGGUGACAAAGGACGCUCAGGAUUCUAAGCAACACCAUGGGUAGUUUCUGGGGCUCACAAAUUAAAUGAUUCUUGAAGAGUUGAAACCCAUAUAUAAGAUCAGAUUGAAUCCUCACUGUUCCUCUGUUUUGCAUAUUCUGUCAAGAUCACUUCGAUUCUAUUCACUACCUCCCUAAUUUAAGAGUAUCCCUAAUAUGUUUGAACAUCAUUGACGCACACUCAGAGGGUUUAAGGAGAAUCCCUGCACAGUAAUUUAGUGCUAAUGUUUAGGUACCACAUUGAGUGGUUCUUUUGUAACUCAAUGAAUAGUAUCUUACAGAUGAAACACUCCAAUGAGAAUAGCCCACAACCUGCUGGCAUCACUGCUCAAUAUCAUCAAUUGUCAAGAACACCAAUUGUUCCAAAACUCUUCCAGAAGACUGAAGAGCGGGAGAUAUAUCUUAACGCAUUAUAUGAAGCCAGCAUUACCUUGAUAUCAAAACCUGACCAGAAACCAAUAAUAAAAGAAAGCUACAGGGUGAUAUUGCCACUGAACAUAGAUACAAAAAUUCUCACAAAACUAAACAAAACAAAGUAAAUAAACAGACAAAAAAAUCCAGCAAUCAAACUGGGAGAGGGGAGGAUUAAACCCAUGCAAAUCAGUGAGCACUGGGUGCUGCAUCAGCAGAAAUAAGGACCAAAACUUCUGGUUAUAUCAGAAACUACAGAGAAAACAUUGGACAAAGUUCAACAUUCUUUCAUCUUAAGAUUAAAAAGCCUCAGC
rnacentral:lncRNA from 1 species